rnacentral:misc_RNA from 1 species
GAUGAAGAACGUAGCGAAAUGCGAUAAGUAAUGUGAAUUGCAGAUUUCCAGUGAAUCAUCGAAUCUUUGAACGCACAUUGCGCCCCUCGGUAUUCCGUGGGGCAUGCCUGUUCGAGCGUCAUUUAACCCCUCAAGCCUAGCUUGGUAUUGGGAGCUUGUCCCGCCUCUCGCGCGGCGACUCACCUCAAAGUCAUUGGCAGCCCGCAUCUCGCCGGCCGUGAGCGCAGCACAGACGCGCUCUUGGCAACGACGGAUCGGCUCUCCAAAAGCUUAUUUCAACCACUGACCUCGGAUCAGGUAGGGAUACCCGCUGAACUUAAGCAUAUCAAAAGCGGAGGA